GACGAACGCUGGCGGCGUGCUUAACACAUGCCAGUCGAACGGAAAGGCCCUGCUUUUGUGGGGUGCUCGAGUGGCGAACGGGUGAGUAACACGUGAGUAACCUGCCCUUGACUUUGGGAUAACUUCAGGAAACUGGGGCUAAUACCGGAUAGGAGCUCCUGCUGCAUGGUGGGGGUUGGAAAGUUUCGGCGGUUGGGGAUGGACUCGCGGCUUAUCAGCUUGUUGGUGGGGUAGUGGCUUACCAAGGCUUUGACGGGUAGCCGGCCUGGGAGGGUGACCGGCCACAAUGGGACUGAGAUAGGGACCAGACUCCUACGGGAGGCAGCAGUGGGGAAUAUUGCACAAUAGGCGGAAGCCUGAUGCAGCAACGCCGCGUGCGUGAUGACGGCCUUCGGGUUGUAAACCGCUUUCGCCUGUGACGAAGCGUGAGUGACGGUAAUGGGUAAAGAAGCACCGGCUAACUACGUG
rnacentral:rRNA from 1 species